UGUGGUAGUGUCUAGCUCAUCCUCCACAUCCACCAUUUCUGCGCUGAUUGGAUUCGGUUCAAGCAAAGCUCUCCCCACUAGAUCCAACAGCCGCCCGCAUCCAACAGAUGGAGCACCGACUUUGGACGAUCUGCCCACAUCUCCCUGCAGCAUCUUUCGGUGAAUUGAAAACCACGUCGCCCGCAUACAUCACGCUACGACGGAGCAGCUAGCAUACAACAUCGGAGCGAGACGAAGCAGAAGCUGAUUUCAGGUCUGGACGAUGCUGCCAGCAUCAUUGCCAAGCGCAGUACCACCCCUCCACGCACCACAGGUGAAUAGGCCCGUCCACCGCCACCUGCAAAUCUUCCCAAUCUCUGCGCGAUAACAGCUUGGACUACGCUAGCUUAAAGCUUCGUGCAGCAGCCGAGGUUUCUUCACCAGGUCCUCCCAAGAACUGCUACGCGUGCGUCUAUGCUCCUAACCGGCAUCCUCGGUGUGGGUGUCGAAUUUCCAUCCCAAAGGUGUCAAACCAAGGUCACAACAAGGAACCUGCUGGUGCUUUCCAUGCCUUACACCGUGAGGCGCGAAUCGUGAUCAUCUUAGUGCGUCCACUACGCAGUGUUCACCCAGGUGCGUGCUGAACAAUCUGGCAACGAAGAAUCAGAAAUCUCCUUGUACUAGCUGUCCACUGCUGCCAUAUAUACUACACUGCGGCAAAUUAUGUACACCUCGGUCAGCCCCUUACUGCUUUUGAAGUAAUAAGCUCAUUAGAUUUUCUAAAAUUGACCGCUAGACUGGAAGUAUUGGAAAGGUUAAGGCAGCAUUUAUCAUAUCAUUUCUAUGCCUGCUAAUUCUCGCUUUCAGGCCUUUUAUGGUACAUGCAGGACGAUGGGCGAGCAAGAUGGUGAAUCCCCAGCUGCAAAUCAUAUAGUCUGGGCAGACGUGAGUGAUGUUAGAGGUAUUUUUAGUAAUAUCCUGCAUUUCUAACAUCAGGUAUUUUUAGAGGAAACGGAAAAGGAUUUUCGGAACGAUGCCUUGGUUGACACCUCGCUUGCUGCAGUCCAGACUUCAGAGAACUAACUACUCAGGCUGUCGUGCUCAUUCUGAAUGGGCUGCCUGCCCGCAUUCAUGCGAGUGACAGCUGGUGCUGUUACCAGACACCUGCAUUUGCCUUGCCCUUCAGCUGAUGCUCAUUCAUGUAGCAACAAUGGCAGUAUACAAACACGCAAUAUUUGUAUAACAUCCGUAGGUUGUACUCCCUUCAUUCUACAUCAUACUUCACUUUCGCUUUAUCCUA